UACGAAGGGGGCUAGCGUUGCUCGGAAUCACUGGGCGUAAAGGGUGCGUAGGCGGGUCUUUUAAGUCAGGGGUGAAAUCCUGGAGCUCAACUCCAGAACUGCCUUUGAUACUGAAGAUCUUGAGUUCGGGAGAGGUGAGUGGAACUGCGAGUGUAGAGGUGAAAUUCGUAGAUAUUCGCAAGAACACCAGUGGCGAAGGCGGACUCGCUGGCCCGAUACUGACGCUGAGGCACGAAAGCG
rnacentral:rRNA from 1 species